CCAGACUCCUACGGGAGGCAGCAGUGAGGAAUAUUGGUCAAUGGGCGGAAGCCUGAACCAGCCAAGUCGCGUGAGGGAAGAAGGCCCUGCGGGUCGCAGACCUCUUUGGACGGGGAGCAAGGCCGCCGACGUGUCGGCGGAAGGAGAGUACCCGUAGAACAAGCAUCGGCUAACUCCGUGCCAGCAGCCGCGGUAAUACGUAGGGAGCGAGCGUUGUCCGGAUUUACUGGGUGUAAAGGGUGCGUAGGCGGCUAUGCAAGUCAGUAGUGAAAUCCAUGGGCUUAACCCAUGAACUGCUAUUGAAACUGCACAGCUUGAGUGAAGUAGAGGUAGGCGGAAUUCCCGGUGUAGCGGUGAAAUGCGUAGAGAUCGGGAGGAACACCAGUGGCGAAGGCGGCCUACUGGGCUUUAACUGACGCUGAGGCACGAAAGCGUGGGUAGCAAACAGGAUUAGAUACCCUUGUAUA
rnacentral:rRNA from 1 species